rnacentral:rRNA from 1 species
UGAGGAAUAUUGGUCAAUGGACGAGAGUCUGAACCAGCCAAGUAGCGUGCAGGAUGACGGUCCUAUGGAUUGUAAACUUCUUUAGUAGGCGAGUAAGGAUAGGUACGUGUACCUAUUAGAAAGUAGCCUAAGAAUAAGUAUCGGCUAACUCCGUGCCAGCAGCCGCGGUAAUACGGAGGAUACGAGCGUUAUCCGGAUUUAUUGGGUUUAAAGGGUGCGUAGGUGGCUGAUUAAGUCAGUGGUGAAAAGCUAUGGCUCAACCAUAGUCUUGCCGUUGAUACUGGUUAGCUUGAGUGUAGAUGAUGUAGGCGGAACGUGUAGUGUAGCGGUGAAAUGCAUAGAUAUUACGCAGAACUCCGAUUGCGAAGGCAGCUUACAAAACUACUACUGACACUGAGGCACGAAAGCGUGGGUAUCAAACAGG